GAUGAACGCUGGCGGCGUGCCUAAUACAUGCAAGUCGAGCGAACAGACGAGGAGCUUGCUCCUCUGACGUUAGCGGCGGACGGGUGAGUAACACGUGGAUAACCUACCUAUAAGACUGGGAUAACUUCGGGAAACCGGAGCUAAUACCGGAUAAUAUAUUGAACCGCAUGGUUCAAUAGUGAAAGACGGUUUUGCUGUCACUUAUAGAUGGAUCCGCGCCGCAUUAGCUAGUUGGUAAGGUAACGGCUUACCAAGGCGACGAUGCGUAGCCGACCUGAGAGGGUGAUCGGCCACACUGGAACUGAGCCACGGUCCAGACUCCUACGGGAGGGAGCAGUAGGGAAUCUUCCGCAAUGGGCGAAAGCCUGACGGAGCAACGCCGCGUGAGUGAUGAAGGUCUUCGGAUCGUAAAACUCUGUUAUUAGGGAAGAACAAAUGUGUAAGUAACUAUGCACGUCUUGACGGUACCUAAUCAGAAAGCCACGGCUAACUACGUG
rnacentral:rRNA from 1 species